CACCGACAAGGUGCCAGGUACAUACAGCUUAUCCCGUACAGCCUCAAUACCCAGCAACUUCCGGCCCCGGGUAACUGUACUUCCGUAAAGUGCAAAAAUAACUUCCGGCCCCGGAGCUGCAAUGCUUCUUUUCACGACUUACGACCGAAAAGCAAGGAAGAGCCCGGCAGAGGAUGAGUAAAAGGUGGAGCUAUGAAGAAUAUAUUUGCAUAAUUAAGCGUCCGCUCAAUAAUUUUGCUUCUGAUUUCAUGUUCCAGGCCAGGAAUAGGGGAACGCUCACAAAAGUCUCACCAGUAGUUUUGAGUUGCAUGAGAUUUUCUGUGUAAGGACUAAAUAGAGCCGCACUGCGUUAGUCACCCUCUCUGUAAAACCGGUAGGAGUGACUUGAUUCUUCCCUACGCAAUCAGGGAGGUGAUCCUUUUUUGGUUCAUAAGCGUGAUGAUUGGGGAUUCACGCCUUUGCGUGACAUGUGCCGCCCAUUAAGCCUUGUUACGCCGCGGGCACAUUACCCGUCUGACGUGAACUAAAGAGGAUCCACCACUUUCACUUUGAAACUUGAAGUGUCUACUCUGGAUGUUUCUCUAGAGGAGUGUUCCCGGCUGCCAGUUUUAGUACUAUCUUCAGUUUUGGCAAACUGGACUCUUCUUUUAAGAAAUCAGACUAUGGAGAAGGGGAAAGGGUCACCAUCCACUGAGCAAAUUGAGAACAUGGGAAGGUGGGAGAGUGAGAAGGGAAGAAAAGGAAGGAUGCAGAGGUCAUGAGGAGGCAGAAAGGUUGAGUCAGAUGGAGAUUAGAAGAAAGGACAUAUGAUAGGAGGAAGAAACCAGAGUAUGAGAGUUAUGCAUCCGUCUACGGGAGAGUUUUAAUUGUUCUUUUUAAAGAGAUACCCUCUCUCAAAAAGUAAAAUAAAGGUUGUUAUUUUAGGAUAUUACAUUAUGUGUGUGAAUGUUUGUCCACAUGCAUAUCCUUGUGCCUCCUGCGUGCUUGGUCCCUGCGGAAUCCAGGAAAGGAUGCCACUGAGUUUCUGAAGGUUGUUAGCUAUGCCAUGCUCUUAACUGCUGAGCCCCCUUGUCAGCUCGGUGGCAUACAGUUCUUAGUACACUUUGCAAUUACCCUAUCUGUGAUGCCUGUCUGUCCCCCAUCCCCUUUUUUCUGUGUGACCUUUUGCAAACAUGCAACUCAGAUCUCUAUGUCUUAAUUUCUAUAUUGGGGAAAAUUUUUAGAUAAUAGUCCCCACUUCUUAGGACUGUUGGGAGAACUUUUUUAAGUUUAAUGUACAUAAAUGCUAAGAACAGUAAUCCGAUCAUCAUAAAGUUCAUACAGAUGUUAGCUCCUGCUGUUAUGCCCACAGCAUUAGCAUUAACUUACAUUUCUUCUCUUCAAGGAAAUUUGGUUAUUAGAAUCCCAACUCAGGGUCUCUUUCAUUUGGCUUUUCCUACUCUGACCAAUUGGUGGCACUCCUGAUCAAUCACUGUUAAGCACAUCCAAGGGAACCUUCUCACACAAAGGCCCAAGCACAGCAUGAUGCUGGUUAAUAAGAGGUUAUUGUGUUCCUUCUGUGUGGGACGUUUCUUCUCCAAUACAUGUGCCCCUUCUGUUCAGUGGAUCCAGGCAUGCUCAUGGACUUAAGGAAUGUUCUUUAUUGUAGAGAUCUCUUGCUGAGCUUCCUGAAGCCAGAGCUGGCCUUGCCUUUACUCCUAGUGCUUGGCACAAUUUAUUCAGGCAACAAAUGUAUCCUGAACCCCCAUGUCCACACACAGAGCACAGACUGAAUUGAUCACAGUCUAUACACACAAUGUAGCUGCAUGGCGCUGGGUCCACACAAUGCAGCUCGGUACAGCUGCACUGAGUAAAAGAGAGCAAUCUUCAUGUAAUGAUGUGGAACUCCAUGAAAUAUAGAUCAGUGAAAAGAGUAGAGGGGAUGCAGUGUAGAUUUUAUCUUGCUAUAAAGAGAGAUGGGAAAAUAGAAAGCAAAAUGUAUAUAUUUUCUUGUAUGUUAACAAAGAAAUUGAGUCUAAAUAACAAACUACAAAAAAAUUAUAUGUAGGCUUACUAGCUUGUUUUGUGGCAACUUGGCACAAGCUAGAGUCAUUGGACAGGAAGGAGCAAGCCUCAGUUGAGGAAAUGCCUUCAUGAGAUCCAGCUGUAAGGCAUUUUCUCAGUUAGUGAUCAAUAGGCCAGUUGUAGGUGGUGCCAUCCCUGGGCUAGUGACUCUGGUUCUGUAAGAAAGCGGACUGAGCAAGCCAUGGGGAGCAAGCCAGUAAGCAGCUCCCCUCCACGGCCUCUUAAUCAGCCCCUGCCUCCAGGCCCCUGCCUGUUUUGAGUUUCUG
ensembl:lncRNA